rnacentral:rRNA from 1 species
AUUGAACGCUGGCGGCAGGCCUAACACAUGCAAGUCGAACGAGUGGCGGACGGGUGAGUAAUGUCUGGGAAACUGCCCGAUGGAGGGGGAUAACUACUGGAAACGGUAGCUAAUACCGCAUACCAUCGGAUGUGCCCAGAUGGGAUUAGCUAGUAGGUGGGGUAACGGCUCACCUAGGCGACGAUCCCUAGCUGGUCUGAGAGGAUGACCGGCCACACGGGAAUUAGGACCCGUUCCAGACUCCUCCGGGAGGCAGCGUGGGGAAUUAUGGCACAAUGGGCGCAAGCCUGAUGCGGCCAUGCCGCGUGUAUGAAGAAGGCCUUCGGGUUGUAAAGUACUUUCAGCGAGGAGGCGUUACUCGCAGAAGAAGCACCGGCUAACUCCGUGCCAGCAGCCGCGUUAAUC